CAUUGUUGGGCUGAAAGAUGAACUGUCACCCCAGUCUGAGUAUAAAUCUGCAGAGGAAAACUGCGAGGCGGCAGUGCGCUGCGUGAAGGGAAUUCACAGCAAUGGAGUUUGUCUCCGUGUUGGUCUGCGCGUUUUUGGUCAGUGCCGUCAGUGGCGGUCCUCAUGACGACAUCCACUGGACAUACACAGAGGGAGCCUUGGACCAGAAGCACUGGCCGAUGAAAUAUCCUGCAUGUGGUGGAAAGAAGCAGUCUCCCAUAGACAUCCAACGGGGCAAAGUCAGACACAACCCAGACAUCCUGCAGCUGGAGCUCAGUGGAUAU